GACGAACGCUGGCGGCGUGCUUAACACAUGCAAGUCGAACGGAAAGGCCCUGCUUUUGUGCGGUGCUCGAGUGGCGAACGGGUGAGUAACACGUGAGUAACCUGCCCUUGACUUUGGGAUAACUUCAGGAAACUGGGUCUAAUACCGGAUAGGAGCUCCUGCUGCAUGGUGGGGGUUGGAAAGUUUCGGCGGUUGGGGAUGGACUCGCGGCUUAUCAGCUUGUUGGUGGGGUAGUGGCUUACCAAGGCUUUGACGGGUAGCCGGCCUGGGAGGGUGACCGGCCACGUUAGGACUGAGAUGCGACCCAGACUACUACGGGAGGCAGCGGUGGAGAAUAGUGCACAAUGGGCGGAAGGCUGAUGCAGCAACGCCGCGUGGGGGAAGACGGCCUUCGGGUUGGAAACCGCUUUCGCCUGUGACGAAGCGUGAGUGACGGUAAUGGGUGAAGAAGCACCGGCUAACUACGUG
rnacentral:rRNA from 1 species